UUGGGGAGUAAAAGUGGCAUGCUUCGAGAACUCCUAUGAUUUAUGUCUCAAGUGCUCCAAGAGUAAUCCCAAAGACGGACGGCAUCCUGAAUAAUAAUCAUAUUAUAGCAGAUGACUUGUGUUCGUGUACA
rnacentral:snoRNA from 1 species